rnacentral:rRNA from 1 species
GGACGAACGCUGGCGGCGUGCUUAACACAUGCAAGUCGAACGCUGAAGCCUGGCUUUUGUUGGGUGGAUGAGUGGCGAACGGGUGAGUAACACGUGAGUAACCUGCCCCCUUCUUUGGGAUAACGCCCGGAAACGGGUGCUAAUACUGGAUAUUCACUGGCCUUCGCAUGGGGGUUGGUGGAAAGGGUUUUCUGGUGGGGGAUGGGCUCGCGGCCUAUCAGCUUGUUGGUGGGGUGAUGGCCUACCAAGGCUUUGACGGGUAGCCGGCCUGAGAGGGUGACCGGUCACAUUGGGACUGAGAUACGGCCCAGACUCCUACGGGAGGCAGCAGUGGGGAAUAUUGCACAAUGGGCGAAAGCCUGAUGCAGCGACGCCGCGUGAGGGAUGGAGGCCUUCGGGUUGUGAACCUCUUUCGCUCAUGGUCAAGCCGCAACUGUGGGUUGUGGUGAGGGUAGUGGGUAAAGAAGCGCCGGCUAACUACGU